rnacentral:misc_RNA from 1 species
AAAGUCGUAACAAGGUUUCCGUAGGUGAACCUGCGGAAGGAUCAUUACAAAUCUUUUGCGAGAACUGUGCUGCUUGCAGUAUGCAGUGACUUGCAACAUUAGCACAGGGUCGCAAGACUCUGAUGUUUACGCUUGUUUGUUUGACAGAGUUAGUUGAGAAUCAAAUAAAGACAACUUUUAACAAUGGAUCUCUUGGCUCUU